AGCGAACGCUGGCGGCAAGCUUAACACAUGCAAGUCGAACGCCCCGCAAGGGGAGUGGCGGACGGGUGCGUAACACGUGGGAAUCUGCCUUUAGGUAAGGAAUAACUCAGGGAAACUUGAGCUAACACCUUAUAAUGUCUUCGGACCAAAAAUUUAUUGCCUAAAGAUGAGCCCGCGGUAGAUUAGCUAGUUGGUGGGGUAAUGGCCUACCAAGGCGACGAUCUAUAGCUGGUCUUAGAGGAUGAUCAGCCACACUGGGACUGAGACACGGCCCAGACUCCUACGGGAGGCAGCGGUAGGGAAUCUUGCGCAAUGGGCGAAAGCCUGACGCAGCCAUGCCGCGUGAAUGAUGAAGGUCUUAGGAUUGUAAAAUUCUUUCACCGGGGAAGAUAAUGACGGUACCCGGAGAAGAAGCCCCGGCUAACUUCGUGCCAGCCGCCGCUGUAAGAC
rnacentral:rRNA from 1 species